rnacentral:misc_RNA from 1 species
UAUGGGCAGACCUUCUGUCUG